CAAUGGAAGCAAACACAGUAGGGCAAACCAAUUUCAGAUUUUUAUCUAAAAUCAAAAGCCUAGAAAAGGUGAAUCUGCCGAAUAGUUCGGGCCGAAUCCUGAGGAAAGUUCAAAGCACUGUUUGACGAGCCUACGUAGUAUUAGUUAGUUGGCCAGGUAAAGGCUGACAAGCCAAUGAUGCUUAGCUAGUCUUUUUGAAUGAUUAGCCACACUGGGACUGAGACAUGGCCCAGACUCCCAUGGGAGGCAGCAGAGGGAAUCUUGGACAAUGGGCGAAAGCCCGAUCCAGCAAUAUCGCGUGAGUGAAGAAGGUCAAUGCUCCUUGUAAAGCUCUUACGUUGAGUGCGCGAUCAUGAUAUAUCUCGAGGAAGAAGUAACUCCAUGCCAGCAGCCGCGCUAAGACGGGGGGG
rnacentral:ncRNA from 1 species